CAUUGACUUUCAUUGCGCGAAAAGGAUAUUCGAUUUUUUUUGUCGUAUAUAUGAAUCUGGAUUUAAUUCACAAUGGUUUGCUCGAUUUUCUUCAUUUUUAAAAUGUAACUUCAACGGAAUGUCAUUUUUCGUAACUAACGUUGGUGAAAAUUUUAUAAAAAUUUUGUCACCAUAUUUGAAUAGUCAUUGUUGUUUAACGACUGGUCAUUAUCAUGCUCGUUCACUAUGGACAACUAAACCUUUUCAUUAUGUUCAAAAACAACAAGAAAAUUACUACGAUAUUCUUGGAUUGAAACGAGAUUGUUCACAAGAUCAAAUUCGUACGGCCUAUUUGGAUUUGUGUAAAAAAUUCCAUCCAGAUAAAUCAGCUAAAAACAAUGCCAGUGAACAACAAAUAAUCAAAGAUACUGCCCGUUUUCAAAAGAUCAACGAAGCUUAUAAUUGUCUCUGUAAAGCGGACACUCGCAAUCAAUAUGAUUUGUCACUUAACUUUGGCCUUGGUGACAAUCCAUUCAUAAAAAGGCCAACAAAAGGAUAUUAUUAUCAUCAUCCCCCUCCAAUGAAUCAUAAUGACCCGUAUCAUCAUCGCUAUUAUAAUCAUCAAUCACCAUUCAGUGAUCGUGCCACUUACAAUUAUUACAAUCAUAUUCGCCGUGAAACCAUGCGUCAAGAGCAUGAAAGAUAUUCACAAUUUCAUCGUGAAAUGUUUGGUUCUAAAUUUACUGGUUUUAUGCUGUUGACCUUGGUUAUAACGACUAUAUUACAGGGCAUUAAUAUUUUGUUGAAUUAUGAAAUGUAUGAGAUCAAUAUGAAAAAACGAUAUGAUGACAUCACCAAUAUUUAUAAAGAAUUAGAUUUUAUAUUUUAUGGAAAGAAAGUGUGAAAAAUAGACGUUCAAUAAUAAUGGAAGAUUUGAAUAAUACAAUAUCGGCCACGAACAAACAUGGACUACGAUCACGAAUGCAUCUACAGCGAAAUGUUAUCGAUCAGAAACAAGAUAAAAAAACAUGAUUAAUAUCUACUGUUUUGUUAUUU